CGCUGCUUCGACCAGGAGGGAAGGAAGAAGAAGGGAAAGAAAUGGGAGUUUGUCCAUUUCACCAGCACAAGACUUAAGCAUAAAUACAAUCUGACAGAACUGACUAUACAGUAUGCACAUGUUCUUGGCCACACUCAUCAUUAUCAUCAAUAUCUGAUCUACUUGGAGGCGACCUGAUCAAACAGUAGAUCCCGAACCCCUCACUGCCUUCUCUGGAUUUCCUUCUGUGUCCAAUCACACAAAGCGUCACAGACUGCAUUCAUCACUCUGCUCUCUAAUAGGCUCAUCACAGAUGGACUCAUGAGAUACUUCAGUGCAUCAGGCUUGAGACGAUCCGGUUCUUCCCGAGAGGUUCCCUGAAGACCUCCCAUAAAACCAGGCUACCGUUUUAAGAACCUGUUUACAGCCUCGCUAUCAAACUAGAAGGGCCCUCGGAGAGCACAAACCUCCUCCAAGAUGCUGAGACCAGAAUCAGAGCAGAGCAGGAGAGGUUCCCCACUCCUCUGCAGGUCCAGAACAAAACCUAUUCUGGUCAGAGCUGAGCUUGAGCACAGUGCGGUGACUGGUGGUCGUGAACCUACCUCCUCCUGCGAUAUUGGGGUGAACUCAGUGGAAGGCGGACGAGGGAUGAACAUGACGGCGCCCGGCAGGGAGACGUUGGACAGCCGUCUCUUCUUGACACCGCUGCAGUUGUUGGGGAUCUUGAACGCGCACCGUUUGUGGUUUCACGCCCCCAACACUUCGACUGGAACAGUCAGGCAGUUCAUUCAGGAUGCUUGUGACUGCAGGUGUCAACCACAGCAGCACAGUUAGUUAUCAUCGCAUGACGUGGCCUUUGGUAACCCAGCAGCAGUGAAACCCCCGGCACUG